rnacentral:rRNA from 1 species
UCAGACGAUGCGUCAUGCAUAUCAAUAAGCGGAGGAAAAGAAACUAACAAGGAUUCCCCUAGUAACGGCGAGUGAAGCGGGAAGAGCUCAAAUUUGAAAUCUUAAAGGGUUUCCCUUUACGAAUUGUAGUUUAAAGAAGUGUUUUCUGUUGAGGUUUUGGUAAAAGUUCUUUGGAAUAGGACAUCAUAGAGGGUGAGAAUCCCGUAUUUGACCUUUACUUUCAACUUUGUGAUACACUUUCAAAGAGUCGGGAUUGUUUGGGAAUGCAGUCCAAAAUGGGUGGUAAAUUUCAUCUAAAGCUAAAUAUUGGCGAGAGACCGAUAGCGAACAAGUACCGUGAGGGAAAGAUGAAAAGAACUUUGAAAAGAGAGUUAAACAGUACGUGAAAUUGUCAAAAGGGAAGCGUUUGACACCAGUGUUGUUUUUCUGAAAAUCAAUUAAAGAACUGUUUAUGCUAAGUUGUUUAGACUUUAUCAGCUAACUGUUUAGUUUUGAGCUUUUCUUUAAUGCACUUUUCAGUUAACAAGUCAACAUCAAUUUCUUUUGCUGUAAAAAAGCUUGAGGAAGGUGGCUUGAGAUUCGUCUUAAGUGUUUAUAGCCUCUUGCCUAUGCAGUCGGAGAGAUUGAGGUCUGCAGCGUAGAUCCUUCGGGGCUAAAUGCAUUUGUGCUAAGUUAUAGCAUUUUAUAGACAACUUGUUGACUAUGAUUUGUCUUGUAGCUUACUCGCUUAUGUUAUUUUACCUACGCUUAGGAUGUUGACACACGCGCGUGCUCG